AAAUUGAAGAGUUUGAUCAUGGCUCAGAUUGAACGCUGGCGGCAGGCCUAACACAUGCAAGUCGAACGGUAACAGGAAGCAGCUUGCUGCUUUGCUGACGAGUGGCGGACGGGUGAGUAAUGUCUGGGAAACUGCCUGAUGGAGGGGGAUAACUACUGGAAACGGUAGCUAAUACCGCAUAACGUCGCAAGACCAAAGAGGGGGACCUUCGGGCCUCUUGCCAUCGGAUGUGCCCAGAUGGGAUUAGCUAGUAGGUGGGGUAAAGGCUCACCUAGGCGACGAUCCCUAGCUGGUCUGAGAGGAUGACCAGCCACACUGGAACUGAGACACGGUCCAGACUCCUACGGGAGGCAGCAGUGGGGAAUAUUGCACAAUGGGCGCAAGCCUGAUGCAGCCAUGCCGCGUGUAUGAAGAAGGCCUUCGGGUUGUAAAGUACUUUCAGCGGGGAGGAAGGGAGUAAAGUUAAUACCUUUGCUCAUUGACGUUACCCGCAGAAGAAGCACCGGCUAACUCCGUGCCAGCAGCCGCGGUAAUACGGAGGGUGCAAGCGUUAAUCGGAAUUACUGGGCGUAAAGCGCACGCAGGCGGUUUGUUAAGUCAGAUGUGAAAUCCCCGGGCUCAACCUGGGAACUGCAUCUGAUACUGGCAAGCUUGAGUCUCGUAGAGGGGGUAGAAUUCCGGUGUAGCGGUGAAAUGCGUAGAGAUCUGGAGGAAUACCGGUGGCGAAGGCGGCCCUGGACGAAGACUGACGCUCAGGUGCGAAAGCGUGGGGAGCAAACAGGAUUAGAUACCCUGGUAGUCCACGCCGUAAACGAUGUCGACUUGGAGGUUGUGCCCUUGAGGCGUGGCUUCCGGAGCUAACGCGUUAAGUCGACCGCCUGGGAGUACGUACCGCAAGGUUAAAACUCAAAUGAAUUGACGGGGGCCCGCACAAGCGGUGGAGCAUGUGGUUUAAUUCGAUGCAACGCGAAGAACCUUACCUGGUCUUGACAUCCACGGAAGUUUUCAGAGAUGAGAAUGUGCCUUCGGGAACCGUGAGACAGGUGCUGCAUGGCUGUCGUCAGCUCGUGUUGUGAAAUGUUGGGUUAAGUCCCGCAACGAGCGCAACCCUUAUCCUUUGUUGCCAGCGGUCCGGCCGGGAACUCAAAGGAGACUGCCAGUGAUAAACUGGAGGAAGGUGGGGAUGACGUCAAGUCAUCAUGGCCCUUACGACCAGGGCUACACACGUGCUACAAUGGCGCAUACAAAGAGAAGCGACCUCGCGAGAGCAAGCGGACCUCAUAAAGUGCGUCGUAGUCCGGAUUGAGUCUGCAACUCGACUCCAUGAAGUCGGAAUCGCUAGUAAUCGUGGAUCAGAAUGCCACGGUGAAUACGUUCCCGGGCCUUGUACACACCGCCCGUCACACCAUGGGAGUGGGUUGCAAAAGAAGUAGGUAGCUUAACCUUCGGGAGGGCGCUUACCACUUUGUGAUUCAUGACUGGGGUGAAGUCGUAACAAGGUAACCGUAGGGGAACCUGCGGUUGGAUCACCUCCUUA
rnacentral:rRNA from 1 species